rnacentral:lncRNA from 1 species
CUAAUUAGAAAAUCAGUAUGACUGAUUUAGGUGCCCUUAGUUCAACUUGUCUUGAGUCCUCUUCAUGACUUGAUGAAGUCAGUGAGAGGAUUUAUGACUGGUUGGCUAGACCAGCUUUUGCCUAAUCUUCUUUAAUCUGACUUGGUGAAGUCAGUGGGAAGAUUAAGAUUAACUGGUCAAAUCUUUUCUCUUCUCUUAAUUCAACUAAUUAAAUCUUCUAAAAUUGUUAGAUCCCUAAAAAUGAAAUUAUUAUGGUGAUAACUAGAUCAUAGCCUUUCAUUAAGUUGGAUGAUAAUGAGUCCAAUAGUUUAGA